UAAACGGCGGGAGUAACUA
rnacentral:ncRNA from 2 species